rnacentral:sRNA from 1 species
GUUACCAGUGUAGAAGUGAGGGUGGUGGAGGACAGAGAGAGGGGGGAGGUGACCUACUUACCCCCGAGGAGCCCGACGACUCUGGCACCAGACAGCAGCUCCCUCUAUUAACGCGGGAACUCACUCGCACCGUAUAACAGUUGCAUUGUAUAUUGGAGCUAUGGGUACUUGUGCUUUUUUGGUCAAUAUGCUAAAACGGAACCAAACAAAUGCAACAAAACUCAAACAAAGCAUGCAAGAAGAAGAUGAGAGCGAUGUUGAGAGCGAGGAGGCAGAUUCCGACAAUACAGACGACGAGGAUGAUCAUGACGGGGGUGUCGUCCCCACUCUGUCUGGUGGCUGGGGUCGCUGAGUCCCCAGUGUUCGACCCUGAGGACACUGUCAACAGAGAGAUUGUACAUAGCUUAGUGAAGGUUUUCAUUGUCAUGAGUUUGGGAUUAUUUUGUGGUGUGGAACUUCCUACUUACAGUAUACAUUGAGCUUGACCACAGCGGUCAGCGGCAGAUUGAUGGCAGAGUUGGUGGCCUCGCAUCUGUAGAUGGCGUUGUUGUCGCCGGGAGUGGGCAGGAAGGAUAACUCUGAUGUCACCAUGUUACCACUUGUGCUGGACACCGACACCAAAGGCUCAUUACCUAUAUAUAACAUAAAUCGAGGCAUUCAAAAAUAUCAUUUAUACUCUACCAGUUUUUGCUAUGUGGAAUAUCAUUUCAUAUAUUACAAGUAAAUACAGGUGCAAUUACUGAAUUUACAAUAUCUAGUUCUCUUUUGUUGUGUAUUAAAAAAUUUUUUGUGAC